CUAACACAUGCAAGUCGAACGCACUCUUCGGAGUGAGUGGCAGACGGGUGAGUAACGCGUGGGAAUCUACCCAUCUCUACGGAAUAACUCAGGGAAACUUGUGCUAAUACCGUAUACGCCCUUCGGGGGAAAGAUUUAUCGGAGAUGGAUGAGCCCGCGUUGGAUUAGCUAGUUGGUGGGGUAAAGGCCUACCAAGGCGACGAUCCAUAGCUGGUCUGAGAGGAUGAUCAGCCACACUGGGACUGAGACACGGCCCAGACUCCUACGG
rnacentral:rRNA from 1 species